rnacentral:rRNA from 1 species
UAACACAUGCAAGUCGAACGGUAACAGAAAGCAGCUUGCUGCUUUGCUGACGAGUGGCGGACGGGUGAGUAAUGUCUGGGAAACUGCCUGAUGGAGGGGGAUAACUACUGGAAACGGUAGCUAAUACCGCAUAACGUCGCAAGACCAAAGAGGGGGACCUUCGGGCCUCUUGCCAUCGGAUGUGCCCAGAUGGGAUUAGCUAGUAGGUGGGGUAACGGCUCACCUAGGCGACGAUCCCUAGCUGGUCUGAGAGGAUGACCAGCCACACUGGAACUGAGACACGGUCCAGACUCCUACGGGAGGCAGCAGUGGGGAAUAUUGCACAAUGGGCGCAAGCCUGAUGCAGCCAUGCCGCGUGUAUGAAGAAGGCCUUCGGGUUGUAAAGUACUUUCAGCGGGGAGGAAGGGAGUAAAGUUAAUACCUUUGCUCAUUGACGUUACCCGCAGAAGAAGCACCGGCUAACUCCGUGCCAGCAGCCGCGGUAAUACGGAGGGUGCAAGCGUUAAUCGGAAUUACUGGGCGUAAAGCGCACGCAGGCGG